GUAUUCCCUUCAGCAGCACAUAUACUAAAAUUGGAAUGACAGCGAGAAGAUUGGCUUGGUUCCUGCACAAGGAUGACACACAAAUUCAAGAAUUUUUUUUGUUUUUA
rnacentral:snRNA from 1 species